rnacentral:rRNA from 1 species
ACGGGAGGCAGCAGUGGGGAAUAUUGGGCAAUGGGCGCAAGCCUGACCCAGCGACGCCGCGUGAGGGAAGAAGGUCUUCGGAUUGUAAACCUCUUUCAGCAGGGAAGAAGCAAGUGACGGUACCUGCAGAAGAAGUCACGGCUAACUACGUGCCAGCAGCCGCGGUAAUACGUAGGUGGCGAGCGUUAUCCGGAAUUACUGGGUGUAAAGGGUGUGUAGGCGGAGAAGCAAGUCAGGCGUGAAAUUUAUGGGCUCAACUCAUAAACUGCGCUUGAAACUGUUUCCCUUGAGAGUGGGAGAGGUAAACGGAAUUCCUGGUGUAGUAGUGAAAUGCGUAGAUAUCAGGAGGAACACCGGUGGCGAAGGCGGCUUACUGGACCACAACUGACGCUGAGACACGAAAGCGUGGGGAGCAAACAGGAUUAGAUACCCUGGUA